UUCCGAGACAGGUGCUGCAUGGCUGUCGUCAGCUCGUGCCGUGAGGUGUUGGGUUAAGUCCCGCAACGAGCGCACCCCUAUUGCCAGUUGCUACCAGGUAAUGCUGGGCACUCUGGUGAGACUGCCCCGGUUAACGGGGAGGAAGGUGGGGACGACGUCAAGUCAUCAUGGCCCUUACGCCUAGGGCUACACACGUACUACAAUGGCGCAUACAAAGGGCAGCGAUACCGCGAGGUGGAGCCAAUCCCAAAAAGUGCGUCCCAGUCCGGAUUGCAGUCUGCAACUCGACUGCAUGAAGUUGGAAUCGCUAGUAAUUCGAGAUCAGCAUGCUCGGGUGAAUGCGUUCCCGGGCCUU
rnacentral:rRNA from 1 species